rfam:Trichuris muris Edinburgh genomic scaffold, scaffold258
AACGUCAGGUGACGGUGCCCAAUGCUCGUUGCUCAUCAGAGACCAUGAAAUGUGUUGGUCGAUAUAGAAGGCCAUGGAAGUCGGAACCCGCCAUGGAGUGUGUAAUAACUCACCUGCCGUAUCGACUAGCCCUGAAAACGGAUGGCGCUCGAGCGCCGAGCCUGUACCUCACCGCUUUGGCAACGUUGUUGACCGUCUCGCGCGUGUUUCUCGGCAAGCGGACGACCGAAGGCCAAGGUG